CCUACGGGUGGCAGCAGUGGGGAAUAUUGCACAAUGGGGGAAACCCUGAUGCAGCGACGCCGCGUGAGUGAAGAAGUAUUUCGGUAUGUAAAGCUCUAUCAGCAGGGGAGAAAAUGACGGUACCUGAUUAAGAAGCCCCGGCUAACUACGUGCAAGCAGCCGCGGUAAUACGGAGGGGGCAAGCGUUAUCCGGAUUUACUGGGUGUAAAGGGAGCGUAGACGGCAGCACAAGACUGGAGUGAAAUGCCGGGGCUUAACCCCGGAACUGCUUUGGAAACUGUGCAGCUAGAGUGCAGGAGAGGUAGGUGGAAUGCAUGGUGUAGCGGUGAAAUGCGUAGAGAUUAGGAGGAACACCAGUGGCGAAGGCAGCUUACUGGACUAUAACUGACGUUGAGGCUCGAAAGUGUGGGGAGCAAACAGGAUUAGAUACCCGAGUAGUC
rnacentral:rRNA from 1 species